rnacentral:rRNA from 1 species
AGAGUUUGAUCCUGGCUCAGGACGAACGCUGGCGGCGUGCCUAAUACAUGCAAGUCGAGCGAGCUUGCCUAGAUGAUUUUAGUGCUUGCACUAAAUGAAACUAGAUACAAGCGAGCGGCGGACGGGUGAGUAACACGUGGGUAACCUGCCCAAGAGACUGGGAUAACACCUGGAAACAGAUGCUAAUACCGGAUAACAACACUAGACGCAUGUCUAGAGUUUGAAAGAUGGUUCUGCUAUCACUCUUGGAUGGACCUGCGGUGCAUUAGCUAGUUGGUAAGGUAACGGCUUACCAAGGCAAUGAUGCAUAGCCGAGUUGAGAGACUGAUCGGCCACAUUGGGACUGAGACACGGCCCAAACUCCUACGGGAGGCAGCAGUAGGGAAUCUUCCACAAUGGACGAAAGUCUGAUGGAGCAACGCCGCGUGAGUGAAGAAGGGUUUCGGCUCGUAAAGCUCUGUUGGUAGUGAAGAAAGAUAGAGGUAGUAACUGGCCUUUAUUUGACGGUAAUUACUUAGAAAGUCACGGCUAACUACGUGCCAGCAGCCGCGGUAAUACGUAGGUGGCAAGCGUUGUCCGGAUUUAUUGGGCGUAAAGCGAGUGCAGGCGGUUCAAUAAGUCUGAUGUGAAAGCCUUCGGCUCAACCGGAGAAUUGCAUCAGAAACUGUUGAACUUGAGUGCAGAAGAGGAGAGUGGAACUCCAUGUGUAGCGGUGGAAUGCGUAGAUAUAUGGAAGAACACCAGUGGCGAAGGCGGCUCUCUGGUCUGCAACUGACGCUGAGGCUCGAAAGCAUGGGUAGCGAACAGGAUUAGAUACCCUGGUAGUCCAUGCCGUAAACGAUGAGUGCUAAGUGUUGGGGAGGUUUCCCGCCUCUCAGUGCUGCAGCUAAC